GCUAGCAUGUGAUGUUUUCGCUCGUUUUGGGCGAGGCUCCAUUAAAAGGCUUUCAUUAUUAGAGUUCUCAGAGGAGCGAUCUUUUUCUUUCGAGAGGAUCAAAGUAAACUUUUUAUAGCAAGGAACGAGAUGUAUGCCGUGUUGAACUGGGUUAAUUUCUUCUGGAAUUAAUUGGCACUGUUCUGCAUGAUGAUUCUUACCUCCUAACGAC